rnacentral:lncRNA from 1 species
CUUCCGGUUACUGACUCUGUGGCUGCUGCCUCCCACAACGCUGUGCUUGCAGACCCCAGGAGCGCUGGCUGUCCCUUCACUUCCUGAACAUGUGGAUGUGUGCUUUGGGUUCUUGACCUCAGCUCUUCCCAAGGUCUUCUUAGAGAAGGGUCUAAAUGAAGUCAUUUUUAGAGUAUUUGUUUUUGGUUACACAGGUGCUUCCGCCCAUGUGGCCUCGGAGUGGGACCCUGCGGGUCAUCAAUCUGUACAUUGCCUGAGAGCAGCCGUGUAUGCUCUGGAAGGGACAAGACCAGGUACCUGUCGGGGGAUGCGGCCGUGGUACCAGGCAUGGCUGCGCAGGUCCUCGCUGCUCAGGAGCAGCUCCUCCUCCAGCUCCUUCUUCAGUUUCUCGGGGGUCCUGUCCAUGAUGUGCCUCUCCUUGGAGAACUGCAACACAGAGUCAACCAUGAGCUCACCCUGCCCAGGCCACACCAGGCCAUGCCAGCUGGAGGUGACCGCCUGCUUCACUAAUCCAACCAGUUAUGCUACAGCCUGCAUUCAGGGAGAUGUGGCCACAGGACUCAGUUCUGACCAAGGAGCUGAGAUGUGAUGGCUGGAGACUCAACACCAUUCUGGACGCCAAAAAGAGCUGGCCUUGGCUGGAAGGUUCUGGCUAGGAGGAGAGGGCUAAAGCAUGCGAAGGCACAACAAUGAUGGAACUGAGCGAAGAAGAUACUCUAUCCCACUUCAGUGAAAACAUCAUGAGGCUUGAAGCAUGGAAGUUGCCUCACCCCCGUGUUUCCUGCCAGGUGGAACAAAGUGCUGAGAGAAUCAAACCAGCAAGCAAAGAGAAGAGGAGCAAGAGAUGGAAAGUGACCUCUAGCAUGCACAUCCCUAAGCCCCAGCUGAUUAUAUCAGCCGGCAAACUCCUCUUGUGACCUAGGCUAGUAUGAGUGGAAUCCCUGUCACUUGUGACCAAAGCAGUCCUGACCCAGAAACGCAGGGACUGGCUGAGGGCAGCCCAACAUUGGUGGCUGAGGGUUUAGACCAUCACACUCCAGAAAGUCAGAGUCACGGAAAAUCUUUGCCCAGGAAGGCAACAGGUAUAUAAAAAGAUACUUUUAGAGAGAUCUGGCUGCAGUGAGAGCAAUGGGCUGGAUGGGGCCAGGGCUGGAGGCACAGGUCAGAGUCUUUUGAAAUGUGCUGACAACGCCCAGAUCUCCAUCUCCAGCCCUUAGGGUCGGUGCCUGGUAGGGAUAUUUACUGGAAUCCGCAUUAAAGCUCAGAUGUCAAUAUGGAUAAAUUGAACUCAUCCCCUCUGCAAAGCCUGAUCUUCGCCCUUUUCCCCAGUCACUGGCAUCUCUUCUGUCCUCAUUACCUGAACUAGAACCCUCAGAAUCGGCUUCCAUUGGUUAAGACAUUCCUGAUUCUUUUACCUAUCCCCAUUCGAAUCCCCACUGUUUAGAUUACUGUUCUUUUCUCCUAGAACUUCUGCAAUAGCCUCCUAACAGUUUCCCUACCUCCCAUUUCUAGUCCCACAACCUGCCACCUACAAUACCACCAACCUUGUCAUAUUGCCCCUAGGUUCAGAGAUUUUAGUCCAAGGGUGCUCCAGCUAAGGCCGACAUGACAGCCACAGUCUCUUUCAACUCCUCUCCCACCACACACACAUAUACACAGAAUCAACGAGCUUCUAAUAUUUAGUUUUCAUUCAUGCCAGGGUUCGGGCCUGGUCCCUGGGGGCGCAGACCCCAGUCCUGCCCUGUUCCUCCAGAAUCCUGAGCUUUAAGCACCAUUUCCUGUUGCCCCAGGGAGCUGACCCAUGGCCCCUGACAUAUACUGAACUUGCAGACACACUGGGAUUUGGCUCUGAAUUUGCUAGGAGGCCCAGAUCAUGAGAGGGCUGUGGAUGCAAACAGGAAGCGUCCCUGUGGGCCCCCAGAAAUAACUGUCAGAGGCAUGACUGGCAGGGGAGAUGGGCAAGGGUCCUGCCAUUAUGAAGUGGGUUCCAAGAGUCAGCAGAGUUGAGGCAUUAAAGUUUUCAGGACAUUAUUUGGGGCUGUUGGCUGCCAAGGCCUGAGGAAAUAUUGGUUAUGCUUCCAAGGGCUCACAGUGACCUCCAGAUAAAGCCCAAAGCCUCCUUCAUAAGUCAAGUAAUGCCUUUUUCCACCUGGCCACAAGCUAACUUGCUAACAUGUUCUGACGCAGGGUCCAAUUGCAGGAACCUUCCAUGGCUCCCUGAACAAAACAUCCCUCAUGUCCUGCCUCCAUGCCUUUGUCUUGUGGUCCAGCAGACAGUGACACAUCUGUAGAGGGUCUUGCUCUGUCUCCCAGGCUGGAGUGCAGUGGCGCAUUCAUAGCUCAAGUGAUCCUCCCGCCUCAGCCUCCCAGGUAGCCAGGACUACAGGUCUGCACCACCACACCCGGCCAUUGGUCUAAUUUCUAAGCAAGGCCAGUGUCUUCCAAUGAGCUCAGGGUGGGAAACCCCACGGGGGUUGGGCUGUGAACUGUACCAGGUGGCCCAAGCUGGGGGUCCAAAAAGACAGAUCCACAUCUCAAAUCCACUGAACUCUGGGAAUCCCUGUGAUGACCUGAGACCUGCAUCAUCACUGCCCCCAAUAAUGUUGUAAACAUGUAAAGAAACUGAAUCCCCAAAAAGCACACUUUCAAAAGCACUACACAAAGCAGUCUGAACCCUUCCUCUGAAGAAGGCUGCUACAUCUGGCAUCGUCUUACAAGUAAAUCCAACCCGAAAUGAAGUUCUUUGGAGAAUUCAGAAACUCAGCCCUUUUGAACCCCUGCCUUGCGUUGAAUUUCAAGCCAAGUUUACAACCAAAUUCUGAAGUAUAUAAAGGACUUUUAAAGACCCAAUUGGUAUUUUUACAAUUGAAAACCUGCAUAAAUUGAUCAUGAACCCAAAGAAUGAAUAAACCCCAAUUACUUUCAUCACUCUAAACCCUGCCCGAAGCUGAAAAUAAAAAUCCAGUUCUCCACAAGUUUGAAGACCAGUUACUUCUAGUACGAGCCCUUGGGUGUUUUCAUCUAAAGUAGAACAGAAAGAACAGGAAUGGCACUUGUGGCGAUCCUAAAGCCUUGCAAUGAAAUAAUUAGUAGAUUGGUUCUGUUUCACCUUUUACUGACACUUGCUGGUUUUGUGGCUUACUUAAAAAUAGUUUAUUUUAUUAUAAUCCAAAGAUAAAUGAAGAAAGGUUUGAAUUCACCAAUCCUACUUUUCCCACUGGGAUGCUAGGCUAGAAAAAUAGUUUCUUAUGCUAAUAACUGUGAUUAAAGCCAAAGCAUUUACUUAAAUAAUUAACUUUACAAAUAAAAAAGUUCAAAGAGAAAAAAAUUCAUAUUUUAUAUCCCUGUUGGGUAAACAAAACCAAAUGUGAACGUGGGCAAUUGGGCAUCUUUGCCUGACCCAGCCCAGUGGGCACAUGGUGGCCUGGCCAGCGGUCCAGGACGUUGCCAGAACCAUAGCUAAGGAGGUGCCACUUGUACACAGCUGUCAUGGAUCUAUAUAUUGAUUACAACAGCUGCCCAACAUAUGACAAUAAAGUGUCCUGAGGAAAGGGUGUCUUACUCUUAUUCACUCAAGAGGCACUCUACAGGCCAGCAGGGAGGGUCCCUGAGUGUGUCCCUGAGACUUCUCUGCCUUUUAGGUGUUGGACCCUUGGCAGAUGAGGACCUCUGGCCUCACUGGGCCCCUUGCUAUGAGCCAGCUCCUUCAAAUUCUCUCAUUAAAGCUCAGUGAAGCAGCCUUUGCAGAGAGCUUCCUAAUCCAUGCACACUUCACCCUUUUGGCUAAAGUUCUGCAGAAAUAGUCAGGGGCUCCAUUUUCAAUCAAGAGUUUGAUAGUCACUGGAACACCGUGCCUUAAAUGAAACCCAAGGACUUACUGCAUGCCUGCCGUGCUACUCUGCCUCUCUGGCUAGAUCUGAGGCAGCCGCAGCUGUGAUGGAAGGAGGACUCCAUGCCCUGCAGCAGUCACAGCCUUUUUGAGGAGACAAAGCAUUUGAAGAGAAUGUGCAGCAAUAAACAUCUAUCUUAUCUGGGGUCAGUGAGGGUUUCUGGUCCCUUCUGACAAAGAAAUUGGCAGCAGAGAUUCCAUAAAAAUUUCAAUAAGUUUUAGCAUUCUGAAACACUUCAAUUAGUUUGAUGUUAACGUUUAAGCACCUUGAUGAAAUAAAUUUAUCUCUUCCAAAUCCUAGAAAGAAUCUCCCUUUCGGCAAAGAUUCUGCAGAUGGGUUUUGAUGCCAUUUUUCCAUUUUGUAGUUAGAUCUCUAUCAUUUAUCACACUGUAGACCAAAUGGUCGUUUUAGUGCCAUUAAAAACUGAUUUGCAAUUUGCUGUUAAAUUAAGAUGUUUCAUUUUCCUACUGUAUAUGAUUUUCCUUUUCACAGAUGAGUGAGGAUACAAGGGGCAAUCAGACCCUAGUGCAGACAAGAAAAUACCAUCAAAACCCCUAGAGAUCCCAAAUCUAAGAGAUUUCCUUUUAUUCAUUAUCAAACCUAAUCAAUCUCUUAUCAAAAGAGGCUCAGAAAUCAUGUAUAGUAAAUAUGAAGAGGAUAUCUGUAGAACCCCUUGCUUAUCAAAGUUCUGAGAAAUUCCCAUUAAAUUUCUGUUAUCCAUGUGUGCAAACUAAAAAGACUAAUUUAAUUUUAAUUUGUGCAGACUGAAGUCUUAGAGCAGAGCACUCUGUAAGCAGGCAGCAGUAACUUAAUCCUACAUGACAAACUAAUUACAUUAGAAUCAUUGUGAUAGGUGCCCAUGCCUUCUUUGAUGUUAAACCCCUGUUACCUUUGAUCCACAGUCAUUCUCUGGGCAAGGUCUCUUGCACACAUUCCCAUCCUGCCAGAUCAUGAAGCUGUUGCUUUUGAAGCUCAGUUUUAUUUUGAUAGAACACCAAGGGACUGAAAAUUAUUUCUCACUGAUUUUGUUCUGAAAACUUCGGGUAGAAUUCUAAGCUUGACAGAAUGUAGCACAUACAACGCCAACAAAUGUGGCUUCUUUUCUUCACUAAGAUCACCCACUCACUGGUGAAACUGCUCAAUGUACUCAUUGCACUGUAACGUCUCUCUCCAUCCCUUCUUGACCCCAGUGAGUUUGCCCAUCAUGUUUCUUACCCCUUGAUAAACAUCAUUUACCUACAGCCUCACUCAAAGCUCAGCUCCAAGGGGGUCUCACCUUUUCGUUAAUAGAUAAACCGAAACACGAUGAGAUUUCCAACAGGCCAUUUGUUAACAUCUUGCCACGCUGAAAGCCCUGGCGGGUACCUUCCGUCUAGAUCAAAUUUAGAUGAUGACUUCCUGGAGCAGCCCACAGAGGACCAGACAUCCAAAUCACCCCAAGAGGCAGGCCUGUAUUCUCAUUCCUCCUAGAGAGAAGUCGGAUGUGCCACACUUCAGAGGAAGGCCGAAGGUCAAUGGGUGCACUUAAUCAUUAUUGGACUAGAGAAAUGAAGGGCUUUGAUAAAAGCUAAACACCAGUCCAACCUACUGUGAAAACCCUGUCUAAACUACUUUGCUCCCUUUAACCAUGUCCUCGAGCGACUUUGAAUAAUAUCUCUCUUGCUUUCACAGGGCUGGCACUUGGGUUAAAAGAAACAAUGCAAGUGAAAUAUUAAUCGCUGAGUUCAGCAGCAAGAUUACACUCAGUAAUAGUAGUGCUUUCUUAACAUCUUUAAAGAAUGAAAAGAACAAAGACUGCCCUGGCUAAGGCAGACCCUAAUAAAAGAGUUUGAAAACCGGCUGAUCAGAGUUCAAAAUGCUAGAAGAUCCAAGCCAGAAAUCCUCACCACUGGUAAUUCAAUCUUGUUAAUUCAACAUCUUAAUGCAAAUUAUGAAUGAUCUGGAACACAGCUAUUCAUCAAACCAGAUGUCCUAUUUGCUCUUCAAUAAGAAUGUCAGCAAAUCAAAAUCAACUUAAUUCAAAUACUCUCAUUUCCUAAUUCACCUUGAAUGAAUGAGAUGAAUUAGGAAAAGGAGAGUACUGAAUGAACAAAAUGCACCGUAGUUGAAAGACACCCAAAGAUGUAAUUGGAAGGAAAAACAAGAUAUGCCAAACACAUGGAGGAAAAGCCAAAGAUUCAGACAGCCUUCCAGCGUGGGGUGUAGAACAAAUGACUUUCAAAUUCUCUCUCUCCAAAAUAGUACCAUGACUAACUACCAUCUUAGAACUCUGCUCUGGGACAAAGCGCAUCACAUGUCAGUGCUAAGUACGCAGCAGGCUUGCAGUAAAACAAAAUGAUUCAUCACAAGAUGGGUUUUGGCCAGACAUCAACUGCACCACUUUCAAUAUACAACUCACAGGUCACUUUAAAGGUAUAUUCCUUCUAGAGGAGCUCAAAGCACUAGAUACCCACAUAUCUCAUUUAACAAGCAUUUUAAAAAAUGCAAACAGCAAACAUCCUACAUGUCAUGCAGAGAAACAGAGAACCAGAAACUGGACUUAAAGACACAAGAUACUCAACCCAAUACAACUCAGAUCUCAUGAGUUCAUACAGCAUUCCUGUGGGCUAAACAGUGAGCAAGAAUGUUUACAUCUCACAAGAAAAUAGGGUGGUGGUAGGGACAGAAAGAAAGAGACAGGUGAGAGUGGUGUUUAGAAGGUAAUAUCAUGAAGACCUACUCAUUAAUUACAUGUGGAAAAUGAAUAGGAGGAAGGGGCAUGGGCAUUCCAGAAAGAUGACUGAGCCACCAACAUCCAAUAAAAAUGCACGAGGGCAUAGUGGGUUUGUGGAAGAAGAUGUAGAACUAAGGUCUGCUGGGCCUUCUGGAUGGAGUCACUUACUGGGCCAUGGGGUCCAGGUGCUAUGGACAUAGGUUGACUGGAGAGCCUAUCUGGAGAACUACGGCUUGGGAGUCCUCAGUAUAGAGGGGUAUUCUAUCCCAACUUUCACCAAACAGAUGGGAUACAGCAUGAGAAGAGGGCUGGGGGAGGCUUUUCAGAGGCAGACUAGAAAGAGAAACCCAAGAAGACAGUAGGACUGGACAGGAAGGACACAGGAGAACAAACAGAAUGCAGUGUCCUGGAGGUUGAGAAAGCUGAUUUCAGGAAGAAAUGGUCAACAUUGUCAAGUGCUGCAGAGAGUUCCAAUCAUAUCAGAAUUGGACAGCAUCCGCUGCACUUGGCAAUGUGCAGGUCACUGGUGGCAUAAAAGGGGCUGAGUGGCCAAUGGAAAGGGAGGGAGUAAAGACUGUGUUAACUUACAAGUGAGAGUUUAUGCAUGUAUGAUAUACAGAGGGACAUAAUAGACACUGGGGACUCCAAAAGAGGGGCGGAGGGAUAGGGAGUGAGGGGCUGACAAAUUACCCAUUGGUACAAUGUUCAUUAUUUGGGUGGUGAGUACAUUGGAAGCUCAAAUCCCACCGCUAUGCAAUAUAUCCAUGUACAAACCUGUGCAUGCACCCCCAGAUCAAUAAUUUUAAAAAGACUGUUAACCAGCUUCGGGGUGGAGGAAGAUGGGGACCAGGAAUGAGCAUGGAAACGAGGAGGGUUUUUAACAUGGGAAAGACCACAGCAUGUUUCUAAGCUAAGAGGAAACACGAUCUCGUUAUGAGAGUUAGAAGGACAAGGCCUGAAGAGAAGGUGGAGGGAGGAAAAUUAGGGUGAGCUGAACUAGGACAAGCAGGACAGAUGGGAGGCUUCAGGGGCCCAGGGAGGACACAGGCAUGAGUUAGGGGGAUGCUGCUGCUGCUCCUCAAACUCAUCCCACACAUAGAGUCCAACGCCCAAGCUCUCACUCACUCCGCAUCCAAGCCACUUGCUGGGUCCCCACUGCCCUUAAAAAAAAAAAGGCCCAGCAUGCUCUGUUCCCCAACCACCUCUAUGGGCUCAUCUCCUUCCACUCCUCAGCUUCAGCCUCAAGCUCCCGUAUAGGAAGCUCUUUCCCUCUCCUGUGCCUUUUGUCCCUAUGGCUCCUACAGUGUUAUCUCCUUCAGGAAGUCCCCUGAUCCAGGGCUGGGUUAAAGACCUCUCCCUGGAUCUCACAAUAGGCUGUGCAUCCUUCCUGCCUUUGCACCCACCACAAAGCACAGCGUAAGCUGCUUGUAUCUCCAUCCGCCCACCAGACACAGCAGAGCUCCUUCGGGCGGAAUGUUCACCUCUGUCUUCCCCCUCCUAGUAGGCCCUCAGUGCACAUGCUAGGGGUAGGCUGGGGAAGGGCGAUGAAUCAAUGGCUUCUGAGUCAGAGGCUGGAUGGAUAGUUCCUCAAAUCUCAUCUUACUGAGAAUCCAGAUUUUACUCAUCAGUCCUUUCUACAUAACUAUUUUUGUAAAAGCACACACAUAUCUAGAGUAGACACUGGGGAGAGUUCUUCUCCACAAGAACUAAAAGACAUGAAACAUAGCACUUUCAUGAGCUAGACAGAAAAAUAGGCCAUAAGAUUCUCAUGGCCAGAGCCAGAUUUCAACAGUAGCUCCUGGCACUGUGGACACACACUGGAAAUACAGCUGAGGCCAGAGAUGGUGUCCAACCUCCUGAGGCUCUCCUUUCCUUCCCAACCAGGACAGGCUGAGUCUCCUCUGCUGUUCCUGGGGAUACCCAAGAUACCCAUCAGCUAAAAGGCCCCCAAGCUAUCACUGACAACAUCUUUAAACCCAGCAACAGGCCUGGGUCCCCCGUGCACUGCUGACCUCUCGCGCAGGCUGUGCGGGGAGACCUUUGUGGUCGGAGCACACCAAGCCUCCAGCGUCCUCCCCAGUGUUUAGCAUGGCCCAUCCCUCUGCAGUCCUGGAGGUGCUGAAUCCACUAACAGAAUUUUCCCAAGAUCCCAAUCCCGUCUCUGCUUCCCACUUAGGUCUCUCCAACAAAAACAAGUUCUUGGCCAGGAUCCCAGCUCCAGGGUCUGCUAGGGAACCGGGUCCUGGGACACAGGCUCUGUCAAGCAUGUCUUUCCCCUGAUAUUGAAACCAGAUCCCACCCAACCAGAUGCCAAUGGAAUGCAUUUAAGCCUCUUUCAAAAAGCUACACUGUCCUUUCUUUUUGGAGGGCUGGAGAGAUAAGUGAGCAACUAGCAGCUGCCACGAGGAGGGGCUGAGUUACUUGGAAAGACAUUUCCUGCAAGGCUUCUUCCACCUUGCGCAGCUCGUGCUGAUGGUGCAUCUGCCCCACUGACAAAGGCAACUCAGGCCAUCGUCAAUGCUGGGAUGUGUCACCAGUCCCCAAGCUGUCACCGUAACAGACAGACCAAAUGACCAGCCACAGGGAAGAUGAGCAGGGCCUCUGCUGCACCACACACACGCACCGCCACAGAAAGACAGUUUCACAUGAAACCAAGUUCCAGGGGCCUGGCACUCUAGGAUGGGCAGAUGUGACUCCUCAGGCUGUAAUAUGGAUUCCAAGAGGCUCCAGAUAUUUUUUUCAGGGUAGGGGAAAUGACUUUAAAGGAAAACAAAAAAGAAACAAUACUACAUAGCACUUCCUGGCUGCAAAGACAGUCGAAUAUAAGUCUAGGAAAGCACAUGUCUAACAUCCCUGCCUUCUGUGGCUGCUCAUUGACAAGACCAUGGCCACUAGACUUAAGGCCUGGUUAGCUGAGACUUACUGAUUCCAUCUAUCCACAGGCACCACACCCCAACCUCUCUAUCUGCGCUCUUUCAGAAAGGUGGCUUUUCCGCCCUUGCAAGGUAAUUCCCGUCUCUUAGGUUCCUCUGACACAGGCACCCCUGACCUUCCUCAGGCGCAAACAUUGACAAAGUGACAAGUUUCAGCUCCUUUGUCCCCUGUCCACAAAAAUACCUAAAUAAAUAAGUUACUAACAGUCAGAGACACAAGGGGCCAGAAGAGGUAGGGGUUUGUUUCCAGUGCCAGCCCCAGAAAUGUGACCCAUUGUGCUUUUUACCAAGUUCCUCCUCUAGCUCACCAGGGACCUGGGGGCGGGCCUGCCAGCGGCCACUCCCUGUGCUCCCCUUCCAGGCUGAUGCCUCCCUGCCUGCCCACACCGGGGUACUCCACGUCUCUACACUUUGUGCGUGCUCCUCUCUCCACGAAGAAGGCCAAUUCUCCUCCUUCUCUGGAUAACUUCGACUAAUUCACCAGACUCAGCAAAGGCUCUGCCUCCCUGCAGGAGGCCAUCCCUGAUCCUCGCCACUCCUGCCCCAUCUAUGCCAGGCAUGUGCCUCCAGGGAGCCACAGCACCCUCUAAAGAGAGCAACACCAAAUCAGUGAUAACCGAUCGUUUCCUUCAACCAGAGUUAAAUGUCUGCAGAAUGCCCACCAGGCAUGGUAUUACAGCAGAGAUCCCCACUGGACCAACAACUCCCACUGGGUCCCCAGCACCGACACAUCCGAGGUACCACAACCGGUGACUGCUGAGCUGAACUAAGGAUGCAAUGGGAUGAAAGCCAAUGGGGAAAUGUGCCUCAAAUACUUAUUAACCCCUGGUACAGGAGGCCUGGCUGCUGGGAUUAUUCCUAGAUCCUCUGUGACUUCUCUGACCAUGUCACACACUAACCUUCCCAGUGAACCUUCUGCUCUGAGCAGGCCUGGCCUUCUGCACUCCUGCAAAUGCCAGUGGCUUUUCUAUCUCUGAGCUACUGGGUCUGCUGCUCCCCCAGGCUGAAAUGCCGUCCCUAUGCCAUUCUUUUCUUUGUCCAUCCAAAUCCCCAGUUAUUAAAAAAAGGAGAAAAAUUUAAAAGGGGUUACCUGUUCUUAAAAACAAACAAACAACAACAUCAAAAACAAAAACAGUCCCACAUCCUCCCUGAAGCUUUCCUAAAAACUAAGGCUCACACUGUUCUCUCCCAACUGAACUGCAAAAUAAAGUAUUAACAUACACAAUAUCAUCUUAUUUUAGGCGUCAAUUGUCUUAAUAUAGUACAGUAGAAAGAACGCUAGCAGCCAGGCAUGGUGGCUCACACCUGUAAUCCCAGCACUUUGGGAGGCCGAGGUGGGCAGAUCACCUGAGGUCAUGAGUUCAAGAUCAGCACGGCCAACAUGGUGAAACCCUGUCUCUACUAAAAAUACCAAAAAUUAGCCAGGUGUGGUGGUGGGUGCCUGUAAUCCCAGCUACUCAGGAGGCUGAGACAGGAGAAGGCGGAGGUUGUAGUGAGCCGAGAUCACGCCAUUGCACUCCAGCCUGGGCAACUACGUCUCAAAAAAAAAAAAGAAAGAGCACUAGGCUUCAGCCCAGAAAAUCUGCUUUCUAUUCCUAGUUCCCCACGAAAUGAUUCUGGGCGGGCUGUUUCUCUGAGCCUUGGUGUGUCCUCUGCGGAAAGGGUAAAUUAUUGCCCUGCUCACCUCACAGAGCUUAUUUUCAGACUCCAGUGAGACAAAGUUGUUGAAGUCUUCAUAGCAUAGAGAGCUUGUUUUGAGACUCCAAUGAGACAAGAUGUGAAAGAACUCAUACAUUUGAAAGUCUUUUGCAAAUGUAAUGAAGUGAUAUUAUGACCUAAUAAUAUCCUUGUGGUAAGUCUUUGAAGGCAGGAACCAUGCCUCAAAUCUCAUUUAUUGCCCCACACCUCCCACAAAUCCCUCCCCACCUAACAGAGGGCUUAUGCAUGGACUUUACAUUCAACACCCAUUCUACAUUCAACACGCAUGGACUUUAGAACUUGAAUAUGUCUGUUAAUGUUAUGAUCUGGAAUAUCUCCAUUACAAGUUUCUUUCCACUGGGCUUAAAUAAAACACUUUCGUCUUUUUUCCCCCAGAAAAAAGAUCCAGUAGUCUUUUAUGUAACGGCUGUCUACUGUGAACCCCUUCGGGAUAUUAAAGUCAUGACCCUCAACAUGGCUGGAACAUCUUGUAUUUGGCCCCAACUCUAUGAGGGCCAGCACAUCCCUGAUCCUUCUCUCCAUUUUCGGCCUCCCAUUUAAUUCCUUUCCAAGGUCUUUAUACACAAGUCCGUAUGAGGCCUCUAAAUACAUCCUAAAUUCUGUAAGACCGCUGCAAAUAAGAUCUUACUCUCUAAAAACACCUGUAUAAUCAUUCUCCUAUGUAAGGAGGGACCCUCUAUAUUUUUAGUUUUGUUCCCAU